GGUAGUGGCAGUCAAAAAGGGUAAGGAUGGUGAAAUCGUUAGGCAAAUACACUAAUAAGAAGGAAACAGAUCUUGAUUUAAUCAGUGAUUCCGAUGAAGAACAAGGUGUUUGUGGAGUAUCGAAGAAUGUAGGAAAUUCCAAAUGUGAAAGUCUUGUGACUGCAGUUCCCAAAAAUACUCGAAAUGAAGUGGCAGACAACUAAAAUGAAGUCGACAGCAGGAAUUUUGUGAUGAGGCAUAUGAAAACCUACAUGACAGAUAAUGGUGCAAAGCGGGAAUGUGGAUUGGAGAUCGAAAGUAAGAUACAGAAGACAAGGUUGGCUAAGUUGCGAAAGUGUAUGCACUAAAAUCGAUGAUGUAAUAACACAAUAUCAUUCAGGAAAAGAUUUUAAUAUCUGCCUAUGAUGUGAAGAAUCGAAUAGAUCCAAAGAAGAAUUAAAUUAUGUUAGUCUAUAUAUCUUAUGUUAGUUGUUAGUUGUGUUUGCAAUUGUCAGGUGCCUUCUUUAAGGGUCACAUUUUUUUAAAGACAAUAUGUUAUUGUGUAUUCUUCUUGAUGUAUUGUUUAUUGAUCUAAUGAACUUGAUGUAAUCAGUAAUAUAGUUAAGUUCAGGAAAGCUUUAAGCUUCGAAAA